GUGAGGAAUAUUGGUCAAUGGACGCGAGCCUGAACCAGCCAAGUCGCGUGAAGGAAGAAGGAUCUAUGGUUCGUAAACUUCUUUUGUAGGGGAAUAAAGUGCAGGACGUGUCCUGUUUUGUAUGUACCCUGAGAAUAAGGAUCGGCUAACUCCGUGCCAGCAGCCGCGGUAAUACGGAGGAUCCGAGCGUUAUCCGGAUUUAUUGGGUUUAAAGGGUGCGUAGGUGGUUUGAUAAGUCAGCGGUGAAAGUUUGCAGCUUAACUGUAAAAAUGCCGUUGAAACUGUCGGACUUGAGUGUAAAUGAGGUAGGCGGAAUGCGUGGUGUAGCGGUGAAAUGCAUAGAUAUCACGCAGAACUCCGAUUGCGAAGGCAGCUUACUAAGCUACAACUGACACUGAAGCACGAAAGCGUGGGGAUCAAACAGGAUUAGAAACCCCAGUAGUCC
rnacentral:rRNA from 1 species